CCUACGGGAGGCUGCAGUGGGGAAUAUUGCACAAUGGGGGAAACCCUGAUGCAGCGACGCCGCGUGAGUGAAGAAGGAUUUCGGUAUGUAAAGCUCUAUCAGCAGGGAAGAAAUAAAGUCCUUCGGACUUUGGACGGUACCUCACUAAGAAGCCCCGGCUAACUACGUGCCAGCAGCCGCGGUAAUACGUAGGGGGCAAGCGUUAUCCGGAUUUACUGGGUGUAAAGGGAGCGUAGACGGCAGCGCAAGUCUGGAGUGAAAUCCCAUGGCUUAACCAUGGAACUGCUGUGGAAACUGGGCAGCUGGAGUGCAGGAGAGGUAAGCGGAAUUCCUAGUGUAGCGGUGAAAUGCGUAGAUAUUAGGAGGAACACCAGUGGCGAAGGCGGCUUACUGGACUGUAACUGACGUUGAGGCGCGAAAGCGUGGGGAGCAAACAGGAUUAGAUACCCUAGUAGUC
rnacentral:rRNA from 1 species